UACGAAGUGCCUGAUAAAAAGGGCUAUCUUGAUGAGAUAACAAUGGUAACUUUACCCUUCGUAA
rnacentral:tRNA from 1 species